GGUAUUACGGGGGGUGCNAGCGUUANUNGGAAUCNCNUGGGGUAANGAACGCGUAGGCGGAUUAUCNAGUNUUNUGUGNAANUNUAAUGGNUUAACCAUUAAACUGCACAGGAAAACUGGUAGUNUAGAGUAGGGGAGAGGUAGAUGGAAUUNUUAGCGUAGGGGUAAAAUCCGUAGAGGUUAAGAGGAAUACUUAUUGCGAAGGCGAUCUACUAGAACCUAACUGACGCUGAGGCGUGAAAGCGUGGGUAGCAAACAGGAUUAGAUACCCUGGUAGUCCACGCCCUAAACGAUGUAUACUAGUUGUUGCUUUGCAAGUCAAAGCAGUAAUGCAGCUAACGCAUUAAGUAUACCGCCUGGGGAGUACGGUCGCAAGAUUAAAACUCAAAGGAAUAGACGGGGACCCGCACAAGCGGUGGAGCAUGUGGUUUAAUUCG
rnacentral:rRNA from 1 species